rnacentral:tRNA from 1 species
UCCUCGGUAGUAUAGUGGCUGGUAUUCCCACCUGUCACGCGGGCGACCGGUGUUCGAAUCCCCGCCAGGGAG